AUUGAACGCUGGCGGCAGGCCUAACACAUGCAAGUCGAGCGCGCGGCGGACGGGUGAGUAAUGUCUGGGAAACUGCCUGAUGGAGGGGGAUAACUACUGGAAACGGUAGCUAAUACCGCACACCAUCCGAUGUGCCCAGAUGGGGGUAGCUAGUAGGGGGGGUAAUGGCUCACCUAGGCGACGAUCCCUAGCGGGUCUGAGAGGAUGACCAGCAACACUGGAACUGAGACACGGUCCAGACUCCUACGGGAGGCAGCAGUUGGGAAUAUGGCACAAUGGGCGCAAGCCUGAUGCAGCCAUGCCGCGUGUGUGAAGAAGGCCUUCGGGUUGUAAAGCACUUUCAGCGGGGAGGCGUUACCCGCAGAAGAAGCACCGGCUAACUCCGUGCCAGCAGCCGCGGUAAUUC
rnacentral:rRNA from 1 species